rnacentral:rRNA from 1 species
UAAUGAGGGGAGGAAAAGAAACUAACAAGGAUUUUCUUAGUAGCGGCGAGCGAAAAGAAAAUAGUUCAGCACUAAGUCACUUUGUCUUUAUGGCAAAUGUGAGAUGCAGUGUAUGGAAUGUCAAAUUUCUAAUAUGAGAAAUUAACGAUUUAAGUCCUUCUUAAAUGAGGCCAUUUACCCAAAGAGGGUGCCAGGCCCGUAUAACGUUAAUGAUUAUUAGAUGGCAUUUCCAAAGAGUCGUGUUGCUUGAUAGUGCAGCACUAAGUGGGUGGUAAACUCCAUCUAAAACUAAAUAUAACCAUGAGACCGAUAGUAAACAAGUACCGUGAGGGAAAGUUGAAUUUAUGUUCAUUAUAUGCACUUGUAUGAUUAACAAUGCGAAAGAUUCAGGAUACCUUCGGGACCCGUCUUGAAACACGGACCAAGGAGUCUAACAUAUUUGCAAGUUAUUGGGAAUAAAAACCUAAUAGCGAAAUUAACAUAACUUUAAUGGGAUUAGUUUUUAGUUCUAUUUAGUCUAUUAAUUCAAUCCCGGGGCGUUCUAUACAGUUAUGUAUAAUAAUAUUUAUAUUAUUUAUACCUCUAACUAGAGCGUACCUUGAGCAUAUAUGCUGUGACCCGAAAGAUGGUGAACUAUACUUGAUCAGGUUGAAGUCAGGGGAAACCCUGAUGGAAGACCGAAACAGUUCUGACGUGCAAAUCGAUUGUCAGAAUUGAGUAUAGGGGCGAAAGACCAAUCGAACCAUCUAGUAGCUGGUUCCCUCCGAAGUUUCCCUCAGGAUAGCUGGUGCAUUUAAAAAUUAUGUAAAAUAAUCUUAUCUGGUAAAGCGAAUGAUUAGAGGCCUUAGGGUCGAAACGAUCUUAACCUAUUCUCAAACUUUAAAUGGGUAAGAACCUCACCUUUCUUGGUAUGAAGGUUGUGGUUGUGAUAUAAUGUGCCCAGUGGGCCACUUUUGGUAAGCAGAACUGGCGCUGUGGGAUGAACCAAACGUAAUGUUACGGUGCCCAAAUUAACAACUCAUGCAGAUACCAUGAAAGGCGUUGGUUGCUUAAAACAGCAGGACGGUGGACAUGGAAGUCGUACUCCGCUAAGGAGUGUGUAGAAGGGUUUCGUGUGAACAGUGGUUGAUCACGAGUUAGUCGGUCCUAAGUUUAAGGCGAAAGCCGAAAAUUUUCAAGUUAUAAUGAAUAAUAAUUAAACACUUGAAUAAUUUUGAACGAAAGGGAAUACGGUUCCAAUUCCGUAACCUGUUGAGUAUCCGUUUGUUAUUAAAUAUGGGCCUUGUGCUCAUCCUGGCAACAGGAACGACCAUAAAGAAGCCGUCGAGAGGUAUCGGAAGAGUUUUCUUUUCUGUUUUAUAGUCGUACUACCAUGGAAGUCUUUCGAAGAGAGAUAUGGUAGAUGGACUAGAAGAGCAUGACAUUUACUGUUGUGUCGAUAUUUUCUCCUCGGACCUUGAAAAUUUAUGGUGGGGUCACGCAAACUUCUCAACAGGCCGUACCUAUUCCGCGGA